CCUGGUGAAAGCCGGUAGGCCGAGGGUUCAGGGAAAUCCGGAUCCUCAAGGCCGAGAGGCGAGACGAACAGACUACGGUCUGGAAGUCAUCGAUGCCACGCUUCCAGGAAAAGCCUCUAAGCUUCAGAUCACAUGCGACCGUACCCCAAACCGACACAGGUGGUCAGGGUGAGAAUCCCAAGGCGCUUGAGAGAACUCGGGUGAAGGAACUAGGCAAAAUGGCACCGUAACUUCGGGAGAAGGUGCGCCGGCAUAGGGUGACGGACGUCGCGUCCUGAGCUCGAGCCGGUCGAAGAUACCAGGUGGCUGCAACUGUUUAUUAAAAACACAGCACUCUGCUAACGCGUAAGCGGACGUAUAGGGUGUGACGCCUGCCCGGUGCCGGAAGGUUAAUUGAUGGCGUUAGCUCCGGCGAAGCGCUUGAUCGAAGCCCCGGUAAACGGCGGCCGUAACUAUAACGGUCCUAAGGUAGCGAAAUUCCUUGUCGGGUAAGUUCCGACCUGCACGAAUGGCGUAAUGAUGGCCACGCUGUCUCCACCCGAGACUCAGUGAAAUUGAAAUCGCCGUGAAGAUGCGGUGUCCCCGCGGCUAGACGGAAAGACCCCGUGAACCUUUACUAUAGCUUCACACUGGAUGCUGAUGUUGCUUGUGUAGGAUAGCUGGGAGGCUUGGAACCUGGGACGCCAGUCCCAGGGGAGCCACCCUUGAAAUACCAGCCUGGCAUCAUUGGCGUUCUAACUUGGGCCCGUUAUCCGGGUCGAGGACAGUGUGUGGUGGGUAGUUUGACUGGGGCGGUCUCCUCCCAAAGCGUAACGGAGGAGCACGAAGGUACCCUCAGCACGGUUGGAAAUCGUGCAUCGAGUGCAAGAGCAUAAGGGUGCUUGACUGCGAGACAGACACGUCGAGCAGGUGCGAAAGCAGGUUCUAGUGAUCCGGUGGUUCUGUAUGGAAGGGCCAUCGCUCAACGGAUAAAAGGUACUCCGGGGAUAACAGGCUGAUACCGCCCAAGAGUUCACAUCGACGGCGGUGUUUGGCACCUCGAUGUCGGCUCAUCACAUCCUGGGGCUGAAGUCGGUCCCAAGGGUAUGGCUGUUCGCCAUUUAAAGUGGUACGCGAGCUGGGUUUAGAACGUCGUGAGACAGUUCGGUCCCUAUCUGCCGUGGGCGUUGGAGAUUUGAGAAGGGCUGCUCCUAGUACGAGAGGACCGGAGUGGACGCACCUCUGGUGUUCCGGUUGUCACGCCAGUGGCAUUGCCGGGUAGCUAUGUGCGGACGGGAUAACCGCUGAAAGCAUCUAAGCGGGAAGCCCCCUUCAAGAUGAGAUCUCCCCGAGGCCUCGAGCCUCCUGAAGGGCCCAGCGAGACCAGCUGGUUGAUAGGCACGGUGUGGAAGCGCUGCAAGGCGUUGAGCUAACGUGUACUAAUGGCCCGUGAGGCUUGACCAU
rnacentral:rRNA from 1 species